AACGAACGCUGGCGGCGUGCUUAACACAUGCAAGUCGAACGAAACGUCCCUGCUUUUUUGGGGUGCUCUAGUUGCGAACGGGUGAGUAACACUUAAGUAACCUGCCCUUGACUUUGGGGUAACUUCAUGCAACUUGGGCUAUUACCGGAUAGGAGCUCCUGCUGCAUGGUGGGGGUUGGUAAGUUUCGGCGGUUGGCGAUGGACUCGCUGCUUAUCAGCUUGUUGGUGUGGUAGUGGCUUACCAAGACUGUGACAGGUAGCCGUGCUGAGAGGGUGACCGGACACGUUGGGCCUGAGAUGCGGCACAGACUACUACGGGACGCAGCAGUGCGGUAUGUUGCACAAUAGGAGGAAGCCUGAUGUAGCCAAGCCGUGCGCGGGAUGACGGCAAUCGGGUUGUAAAGCGAUUUCGUCUGUGACGAGGCGUGAGUGACGGUAAUGGGUAAAGAAGCACCGGCUAACUCCGUG
rnacentral:rRNA from 1 species